UGGGGAAUAUUGCACAAUGGGCGAAAGCCUGAUGCAGCAACGCCGCGUGAGUGAUGAAGGCCUUCGGGUUGUAAAGCUCUGUCUUUUGGGACGAUAAUGACGGUACCAAAGGAGGAAGCCACGGCUAACUACGUGCCAGCAGCCGCGGUAAUACGUAGGUGGCGAGCGUUGUCCGGAUUUACUGGGCGUAAAGGAUGCGUAGGCGGAUUUUUAAGUGAGAUGUGAAAACCCUAAGCUUAACUUGGGGACUGCAUUUCAUACUGGAAAUCUAGAGUGCGGGAGAGGAGAAUGGAAUUCCUAGUGUAGCGGUGAAAUGCGUAGAGAUUAGGAAGAACACCAGUGGCGAAGGCGAUUUCNCUGGACCGUAACUGACGCUGAGGCAUGAAAGCGUGGGUAGCAAACAGGAUUAGAUACCCUGGUAGUCCACGCCGUAAACGAUGAGUACUAGGUGUAGGAGGUAUCGACCCCUUCUGUGCCGCAGUUAACACAAUAAGUACUCCGCCUGGGAAGUACGAUCGCAAGAUUAAAAACUCAAAUGAAUUGACGGGGGUCAUAGCUGUUUUUCCU
rnacentral:rRNA from 1 species